AUCCAAUUGACGAGUCCCAAAUAGGACGAAACGUGAAUCCUGGAU
rnacentral:hammerhead_ribozyme from 1 species